rnacentral:lncRNA from 1 species
AGAAAGGGAGAGAGAAUCUAAAGCAGAUUCCCUGCUGAGCGCAGAGCCUCACAUGGGACUCAAUCUCACGCCUCUGAGGUCAUGAUCUGAGCCAAAAUCGAGAGUCAGACACUUAACAGACUGAGCCACCCAGAUGCCCCAUAAGCUAAGUAAUUUUUUAAAAAUUUUAUUUAUUUAAAAGAGAGAGAGAGAGACAGGGAACAAGAGCACACAAGCUGCAAGGUGGGGGCAGGGACAGAGGGAAAGGGAGAGGCAGGCUCCCCGCUGAGCUGGGAGCCCGAUGUGGGGCUCAGUCCUGGCACCCAGGUGCCCUAAAAAUGUUUUAAGUUAAAAAACAAUAAUGAAAGCAAGAACAAAAACUUCACAUCAGGUGGCCAAAUUGUCUCUGGAUCAAACUGCUUCUGUUUAUGGGUCAUGGUCACAGGCCAUCUGCUCUGGGUCUCCUCAGUACUGAAACUGCUCUCCAGCUCCCUUAAACGUCACUGGCAGCAGACCAGUACUCUCAUCUGCAAAACUCAGCCCUCUGGGAUGGCGUUCAUCACAUCCACCACGCUGGUGAUCUUGCCAAGAGAGAACGGAGCUGAGUCUGAUGUGACAUGCACUUCAUCAUCAUGCCCUGAUGAUCCUGAGCUUCCUCCAAGAAGAGGCAAAGGCAGCUUAAUCUCAGCAUGAGGGAGAGGCUAGGAGACCCCAGUCUCUGCCCACGUCAUCCAAAGCAUCUGUUCUUGACUGAAGUGGUGACACAGAACCAGGGUGGGGAGCUCUGUUUUCUCUUCACCACCCCAUAUUAUACCCUACCCUACAUGGGCUUGCCUCAUCCAUCACAGCUUGUGUUUCUCACCUGAUAUCAAAUUUAAGAACCUAAUUUUGAGGGACAUCCACAGUUCUUCAGUAGGUGAAUGGAUGGAUACAUUGUGGUCCAUCUGUUACGACAGUUAUUCAAAAGAAAUAACUCCCCAGCGUGCAGGCCGGGUGUCAGGGCAACUAACGGGAGAGCAACAGGAAUGGGGGGGGG